rnacentral:rRNA from 1 species
CUGUCUAAGACUAGCCAUGCACGUCUAAGUACAAACUAAAUGAUGGUGAAACUGCAAAUGGCUCAUUACAACGGUUAUGAUGUACCCGGGAGUUCCGAUGGAUAUUUCCAGUAACACUAGAACUAAUACAUGUCCCUGCGUUUAUUAGUUUCGCACAGUCCGUCGCUGAGUCAUGGUAAACAGUUGAUCGACUCGACGUCCCGGAACAGUUUCCGCCCCAUCAGCUUCGAUGGUUGGGUAUUGGCCUACCAUUGCAACAACGGGUAACGAGGAAUUAGGGUUUGAUUUCGGAGAGGGAGCCUGAGAAACGGCUACCACAUCUACGGAUGGCAGCAGGCGCGCAAAUUACCCAAUGCAGACACUGUGAGGUAGUGACGAGAAAUAAUAAAGCGGGACUUCUGUUUCGCUAUUAUAAUGAGGAAUAACCAAAGGUCAUUCCGAUUAGCAACUGAUGGGAAAGUCUGGUGCCAGCAGCCGCGGUAAUACCAGCGUCAGUAGCA